rnacentral:pre_miRNA from 1 species
UGCCAUGCUUUUCCACAGCUUUCUUGAACUUCUCUCCACUUUUUUUCUUCAUAAUUUUGCCUGCUGCAGCUUGCUUUGCUUUGGUGCAGGAGAGCAGCAAUAUAGCUUGAAAAUAUUGCAUAGAAGUUCAAGAAAGCUGUGGGAUAAUAUGGCAA